rnacentral:rRNA from 1 species
GAUCCUGGCUCAGAAUCAACGCUGGCGGCGUGCCUAACACAUGCAAGUCGCACGAGAAAGUGGAGCAAUCCAUGAGUAAAGUGGCGCACGGGUGAGUAACACGUGACUAACCUACCCUCGAGUGGGGAAUAACUUCGGGAAACCGAGGCUAAUACCGCAUAACACCUACGGGUCAAAGGAGCAAUUCGCUUGAGGAGGGGGUCGCGGCCGAUUAGUUAGUUGGCAGGGUAAUGGCCUACCAAGACGAUGAUCGGUAUCCGGCCUGAGAGGGCGCACGGACACACUGGAACUGAAACACGGUCCAGACUCCUACGGGAGGCAGCAGUGGGGAAUUUUGCGCAAUGGGGGAAACCCUGACGCAGCAACGCCGCGUGGAGGAUGAAGUCCUUCGGGACGUAAACUCCUUUCGACCGGGACGAUAAUGACGGUACCGGAAGAAGAAGCCCCGGCUAACUUCGUGCCAGCAGCCGCGGUAAUACGAGGGGGGCGAGCGUUGUUCGGAAUUAUUGGGCGUAAAGGGUGCGUAGGCGGUUUGGUAAGUCUUGUGUGAAAUCUCCGGGCUCAACUCGGAGCCUGCACGAGAAACUGCCGGGCUUGAGUGUGGGAGAGGUGAGUGGAAUUUCCGGUGUAGCGGUGAAAUGCGUAGAUAUCGGAAGGAACACCUGUGGCGAAAGCGGCUCACUGGACCAUAACUGACGCUGAUGCACGAAAGCUAGGGGAGCAAACAG